rnacentral:rRNA from 1 species
UACGUAGGGCGCGAGCGUUGUCCGGAAUUAUUGGGCGUAAAGAGCUCGUAGGUGGCUUGUCGCGUCUGCCGUGAAAGCUCAUGGCUUAACUGUGGGUCUGCGGUGGAUACGGGCUGGCUGGAGGUAGGCAGGGGCAAGCGGAAUUCCUGGUGUAGCGGUGAAAUGCGCAGAUAUCAGGAGGAACACCGGUGGCGAAGGCGGCUUGCUGGGCCUUGCCUGACGCUGAGGAGCGAAAGCGUGGGGAGCGAACAGG